CGAACGGAAGUCGUGUAAUGAUGUUACAUGAACAGAGAACUGUCAAGGGAAUGAAAUUGACUACAACAAUGGCUUAGUGGCGGACUGGUGAGUAACACGUAAGCAAUCUACCUACAAGAGGGGGAACAACAGUGAGAAAUCACUGCUAAUACCGCAUAAGCUAACGCCUUCGCAUGAAGAAGUUAGAAAAGGAGUAAUCCGCUUGUAGAUGAGCUUGCGACUGAUUAGCUAGUUGGUGUGGUAACGGCAUACCAAGGCGACGAUCAGUAGCUGUGCUGAGAGGCAGAACAGCCACAUUGGGACUGAGAUACGGCCCAGACUCCUACGGGAGGCAGCAGUCGGGAAUAUUGCACAAUGGAGGAAACUCUGAUGCAGUGACGCCGCGUAUAGGAAGAAGGUUUUCGGAUUGUAAACUAUUGUAGACAGGGAGGAGUAAGGACAGUACCUGAAAAGUAAGCCCCGGCUAACUAUGUGCCAGCCGCCGC
rnacentral:rRNA from 1 species